AGCUAUCAAUGGUAAACAAUAGGUUCUUGUACUUACAGACGAUGGUGUCUUUCAGAUGUGUAUUUUUUAUUGCCGUUUUCUCUCCUCUGCCACACCAGUUCAGCUGCACAGCUAGCUGAGGAGCGAACACCUUCCCACAAAUCCGCCAGACAGUUUUUUUAAGCGUUUGCCCCCCAGCCAGUGACAGUUUUGACACCUGUAAUUGACAAAAAUGUUUGGUGAGUCAUGUGAACAUGCUACAAUUUCUACAUUCAAUUGACCUGUACACCAUACAUUUACAGUAUACAUUUUUGGUAAGGUUUUGGAAAUUUGGGAAGAUAAAAAUAAAAUCGACUACCAUUCUUUGCCUGAAGCUCAUGUUUUGAAGGUGGAUUUCCAUGUCUUUCAAGGCCUGGAUGCUUUCCAGCGGGAGUCCAUCAUCCUCCCCUGCAUCUACUGGUGCCAGUGGAGUCUGUCCCAGGCUGUUGUUCCCCCAAAAAGGUGCUCUCUGGGUAACAACUGCAGUUAGAUGCUGGACCUGGACCUGCAGUUCCCCCAGCAUAUCUAAGAUGGCCCGCUCAGCUGCUGGAAAGACACACAAGACAUUACGGUUGAUAGCGGGACUUGAUGGAGAAAUUGGCUGUGUGACAUCACUGAAAGCAAAUAGCCAAGCAGCCUGAAUGCUUCCCUGGUAGGACUGGACCUUUGACAUCACUGAGAAAAAGGAAAUUGUUAUUUACACAGUUGUUCUUUAGAGGCCUUACCUUUUUGUCUUGGUUCUGAGGGCUCAUCUGGCCAGUACCCUGGGAUAUCAUCUGUAUGGAAGCUCU